AACGCGAAGAACCUUACCUGGGCUCGAACGGCUUCUCAACGCCGGUGGAAACAUCGGUACCCCGCAAGGGGGUGGAGUCGAGGUGCUGCAUGGCUGUCGUCAGCUCGUGUCGUGAGAUGUUGGGUUAAGUCCCGCAACGAGCGCAACCCUUGUCCUGUGUUGCCAUGCCGAAAGGCGGAACUCGCAGGAGACCGCCAGCGAUAAGCUGGAGGAAGGUGGGGAUGACGUCAAGUCCUCAUGGCCUUUAUGUCCAGGGCUACACACGUGCUACAAUGGACGGUACAAUACGUCGCUAACCCGCGAGGGGGAGCCAAUCGCUAAAAACCGUUCUCAGUUCGGAUUGCAGGCUGCAACUCGCCUGCAUGAAGCUGGAAUCGCUAGUAAUGGCAGAUCAGCACGCUGCCGUGAAUACGUUCCCGGGCCUUGUA
rnacentral:rRNA from 1 species